GCAUUAGUAGCUCAGUAUCAGAGCGUCGGUCUUGUAAAUCGGAUGUCGAAGGUUAAAAUCCUUCCUACUGCU
rnacentral:tRNA from 1 species